CCGGGCACUGACAAGCCGGGCAGCCUCAGGUGUGCUCUCAGUGGGCAACCGCGGAGGCUCUCUGGCUGCUCAGAUGAGCAAGUUACCUGGGAACAACUGAUCUGCUGAGAAAUCUGAUGGCUGCCCCAUGAGGGGAACCAGGUCACUAGGGUCGCUGGGUGAAGGCUGCUCACCCUUCGAACAGUCUAACCCUCUGUGAUCAGGCUGUUUUAAUCCCCACGUCUCAAGACUCUCACAAAUCUGGAACUGGUUCGUAGUCUAAGGCCCUGGCAGGGAUAAUAUGUUUAAUUGGCUUGAAAGCAGAAAACGCAAAGUACAGGACAUGCAGCAAAGUUAGUUUUGUAAUUACAAGAAGUCCGGUGCCCUUCAGAAGGGUUACAUGUGGGUAUUUCUCCAAAAUGGAUUGUUUUUUGUUUUGUUUUGGGGAGUUUGUCUUUUUGUUUUUGUUUCAUGAUGUUUUUAUCUACUGCAUAGAAUUUGGAGGAAAAAGCCUAGGAUUUGAAAUGUGGACAGGAAUUUAAAUCCUUGGUGGGCACAUAGCAGCUGUGUGACCAUGAGCAUGAUACCUAACCUCUGUGAGGUACAAUGGGAAUAAUUAUAUCCACCUCUUAGUGAGGUCAUGAAAAUAAAUUGAGAUAAAACAUAUGAAAGCACCCAGCACUGGCAUACUCAGUCCAUAUUAGUUUCUCAUUCUCUUCGUUAUUUUCAUUAUCAUCUUUAUCACAUCCUCACCUUUUUUCAUCAUUGUCAGUAGCUGCAGCAUCAACCCAGUGCCCUGACUUUCAAGACGACUAUGAAAACACCCCAACUGCUGCUAAAUUACCAGCAACAAGGAUCUGUGCAGCCAUCCAGCCCAGAACACAACAAGAAUAGAGUUGAUGAGCCCUCUUUUCCUCAACAAACACCUGUGAAAAAUGGGCCAAUUCACAGCUGCAAUCGUUGGGAGAAUUUCCUGUCUGGGAGUCUGGAAACUGCCAAGAGUGGAAAGCUGCAGCCAGCCAGCGAGGCCUCUGUUGUCACUGGCCCAAACAACAACAAAAACAACCGCAACAACAACAACAACAACAAAACAUGCCACGUGUGCACUGGCAUAUACAAACACGCCCACAGAACCAAACCAAGCGGACAAGGCUUCAAGGAGAGCUUCUGGGCGGCUCAUUCCCGCGGCGAGGCAUAUCCCUUGGCAUGGUGCCACUGCAGCCCAGCUCCCAGCCCCCCCGCCAUCUGUCAUCAGCGCUCUGCCUACUGUAAGUGUGCCGACACAGUACACGGAGGCUAACAAGUAGCAAAUGGAGGGGAAGAAAAAACAAAGCCACUGCAGUCAGUGGGAGAGGUGGCUAGGGCUUUGACAUAAACUGAC
rnacentral:lncRNA from 1 species